rnacentral:rRNA from 1 species
AACGAACGCUGGCGGCAGGCUUAACACAUGCAAGUCGAACGGGUGCAGCAAUGCAUCAGUGGCAGACGGGUGAGUAACACGUGGGAACCUUCCUAGGGGUACGGAACAACUCAGGGAAACUUGAGCUAAUACCGUAUACGUCCGUGAGGAGAAAGAUUUAUCGCCCUUAGACGGGCCCGCGUCGGAUUAGCUAGUUGGUGGGGUAACGGCCUACCAAGGCGACGAUCCGUAGCUGAUCUUAGAGGAUGAUCAGCCACACUGGGACUGAGACACGGCCCAGACUCCUACGGGAGGCAGCAGCGGGGAAUCUUGGACAAUGGGCGCAAGCCUGAUCCAGCCAUGCCGCGUGAGUGAAGAAGGUCUUCGGAUUGUAGAGCUCUUUUGCCAGGGACGAUAAUGACGGUACCUGGAGAAUAAGCCCCGGCAAACUUCGUGCCAGCCGCCGCAGUAA